CCUGCACGAAUGGCGUAAUGAUGGCCAGGCUGUCUCCACCCGAGACUCAGUGAAAUUGAACUCGCUGUGAAGAUGCAGUGUACCCGCGGCAAGACGGAAAGACCCCGUGAACCUUUACUAUAGCUUGACACUGAACAUUGAGCCUUGAUGUGUAGGAUAGGUGGGAGGCUUUGAAGUGUGGACGCCAGUCUGCAUGGAGCCGACCUUGAAAUACCACCCUUUAAUGUUUGAUGUUCUAACGUUGACCCGUAAUCCGGGUUGCGGACAGUGUCUGGUGGGUAGUUUGACUGGGGCGGUCUCCUCCUAAAGAGUAACGGAGGAGCACGAAGGUUGGCUAAUCCUGGUCGGACAUCAGGAGGUUAGUGCAAUGGCAUAAGCCAGCUUGACUGCGAGCGUGACGGCGCGAGCAGGUGCGAAAGCAGGUCAUAGUGAUCCGGUGGUUCUGAAUGGAAGGGCCAUCGCUCAACGGAUAAAAGGUACUCCGGGGAUAACAGGCUGAUACCGCCCAAGAGUUCAUAUCGACGGCGGUGUUUGGCACCUCGAUGUCGGCUCAUCACAUCCUGGGGCUGAAGUAGGUCCCAAGGGUAUGGCUGUUCGCCAUUUAAAGUGGUACGCGAGCUGGGUUUAGAACGUCGUGAGACAGUUCGGUCCCUAUCUGCCGUGGGCGCUGGAGAACUGAGGGGGGCUGCUCCUAGUACGAGAGGACCGGAGUGGACGCAUCACUGGUGUUCGGGUUGUCAUGCCAAUGGCACUGCCCGGUAGCUAAAUGCGGAAGAGAUAAGUGCUGAAAGCAUCUAAGCACGAAACUUGCC
rnacentral:rRNA from 1 species